UGCCUGGCCUCAGAUAUUCUCUGGCCAUAUUAGGUGCUGUCUCCCCUCCUAGACUGGAGCUCCUUGAGGACCAGUAGGAUG
rnacentral:pre_miRNA from 1 species